GUUUCCUUCUAAGGGAAAUAAACACCAAAGGUAGGAUUCCAAGGAAAUGACUCACGGCGGCUGGCAGGGCUCUGGCGGGGCUGGCCCGGGCCCCCGCGCUCCAGCCCGCAGCAGAUGCCGGCCCGGCCCUCUCUCCCUCCCUUGCCGGCCAAACCCGCCGGAAGCCCCCGGCCGCGGGAGCGCCCUGCGCCCAUGGGACCUGGCGGCGAGGACGCCUCUUCCCUGCUUCUGCGACCGCAGCUGGGCACUCGGAAAGUUGCUAGGGCCGAAGAGGCUGGAGGGGAGGAAGGGAAGAGAGAGGCGGAGGCGUGGACCAGGCGGGCAGCAGCCUCAGCCCGCCGGGGAGCAAACGAAGAUGAGAAACAGAUGUCUUUGCAGGACCAAACAGUUACUCUCCCUCGCCGCCCCCGCCCGUUUCCCUCCUGAGCUGCUGAUCCUCCGACUGUGAAAAACCAAACCUCUGGCUGCCUGGCACCCUAGGAAUCAAGAAGACGCACAGACUGAAAAUCAAGGGAGGAAGGAACAAGAUCAAGGAUGAGGAUUAGCAUCUGCAAAUUGAACUCUAUCUAAUUUGCAUGUUUAUUUCUUAGAAUUGUAAUUAAAUUUGUGUAAUAAAUGUUUUCCAUUUCAUUUGUACA
rnacentral:lncRNA from 1 species